UACGUAGGCAGCAAGCGUUGUUCGGAGUUACUGGGCGUAAAGGGUGUGUAGGCGGUUCCUUAAGUUUGCUGUGAAAUCUCCCGGCUUAACCGGGAGGGUGCGGUGAAUACUGAGGGACUAGAGUACGGGAGAGGAAAGUGGAAUUCCUGGUGUAGCGGUGAAAUGCGUAGAUAUCAGGAGGAACACCGGUGGCGAAGGCGGAUCUCUGGGCCUGUUCUGACGCUGAGGCGCGAAAGCUAGGGGAGCAAACAGG
rnacentral:rRNA from 1 species